GUUCAUGGAUCUCAAUUCAGAAGAAAAUCAUUUCUUAGUGGCAGUCCAUGCACUAACACAAAUUGUAUAUCCUGUAAUACAAAAUGAAUUUGAUAGACUAUGUCCUGAUCAGGAAUUAGAAAAAAUCCGUAUAGAUAUGUAUGAGCAGCAAAAGGCUCAGCAUUGUAAUGAUUUGCACAAGGAUGGAAAUAAAAGCAGAAAGGAAAGAAUAUACCUUACACAGAAUCAACAGCAACAACUCUUUUCACCAAAAAAAGAAGAAUCGAAGAACUUAGAUUUAAAAUUGAUGAUUUACAUUCUGAAAAAACGAAUCGAAGAGGAGGGCAAGGAAGAUGGCGUUGGUCAAUUAGAAGUAAUCGAUAACAUCAGGCGAGAAAUUGUUCAAAGUAGUAGCGGAGUUUUAACUGAAACACGUUUCCAAGAUAUCAUAAAAAGUAUUAGAAAGGCAGUAAUGCAUUUCGGAGGAGAAUUUUAAUGAGGAAAAAGUAUUUAACAUUCAUCAAAUACAAAAUAUUAAUUUUCUAGAAUAAAUUCAGAAGGACCAAUGAUAUAAUUAUAACCAUGAAACAGUUGGACGAACAUACAUAAUCUUAUUCCAGGAGUAUACUAUUCAUAUACAUAUUAUAUACAUGUAUCUCCAUCAUGUAAAUCUCUGAAAUCUGGACAUUGUCUGCUUAUACAUUUGGUCAUUUAUAUUAGCCCGUCAACGUUUGUAGACAAAGGCUAUGGAUUUUCAAAUGUUUUGUCAACGAGUCAACAAGCAUCACCUUAGUCGAUAUGCGCAUCACAAGCAGUAAAAUUGCUAUUCAUUAAACAUUGUUAAAAGCUUAACACAAACAAUACUUUUUGUUUCUACUAGCAAAUGACUUUAUGUGUACAAUGUAUUAUGUCAGUAAUACUGUCUUAUAUGUCCGAUACCCAUCCAGUAAAUUAACAUACACGUGAACACUAAGGCUAACACUUGAUUGAACGAGUAGAACAAUCUAUA